UCAGAUGGAGGAAACCACCUUCUCUCUCCCGGCAGGCGGCGGAGUCCUGUCGCGGCUGCAGAGCGAGGAUGCAGCCCUCUCCCUGAGCCCGGUGGAGAGCUGGGGGCUGGAGCAGCCGGGGCCCCGCCAACUCGCCUGGGCCCCCGACCUGGUGCCACAGCUGUCUGCACUCUGCGGGUCCGUCGAGGGGCUGCAGAUGCGGGCUGCCCCCAGGCCCGCGGCCCUCUAGGCCUGCGCCCCGCGCUCCGGCGCCCUCGUCCAAGGAGCCGCUGGCCCAGGCCGCCGGGGUGGCUGCGGGGCUCCACCGGGGCUGGCUCACACGCGCUCCUCCGUCCCCUUCAGGACGGGUCCGCGCCAGGUGCCGGGGGCUCUCCCCUGGGGUCAGAAUUCCUCCUUGAGAGGCGGUGGCAGCUGGUGCCCCGGCACCCGUCUCCAUCCAGCGGCCCACCGCCCGCAGCUCGGCAGCCCCGGGCAGGCCCCCCGCCGCUCGCGGCCUGCUGUCCCCGCACCGGGCCGGCCCGGAGCCCGGUGCUGGCAGCUGGCGGGGUCACGACCCGCUUCGAGAGCCCGGCGGACCCGUCUCACGCGGCUGGGACGUAUCUGAGCUGUGAAGGGGGGCGUGCGCGUGCGUGUGUGCGUGCGUGCGUGCGUGCGUGCGUGAGCGCGCAGGGCGCCGGAAGGGCGCGGGGGAAGAGCCCUGAGGACCCCGAGAGGGUGGCGGGCCUCGGAGCCCCGGCCCGGUUCUCUCCACCUAGCGGAGCGCCGCAGGCCCAGCAGCCACAGGAUUGGUCCCCUGCCUCUGACGAGAGCUACCUAAGGACCCGAACAGUCGGCCCUUGUAAGAAAGGGCCGGGAGUCUCGGAAGGGCGCGGGGAACGCGUGAACGUCCGGAGGCCACUGGCGCGCAUUCGCACAAACCCUCUUGCGGGUGAACGCGGCCGCUGGCUUGGGCGUGCGAAGCUGCUCUUUAAAAAUGCAUUACACUGUGCGCGUGUCCUCGGGCGCGUGCGCUCCGCGCUCCUCGGGGACGUAGGUUUUCGGAACGUGGAUCUUUGCCAGCUUACGACAACCCCUGGAGUUUCGGAGCUAGUGCACCGUGUCACACCUUCGGGCAAUCUGUGCGGCUUCCUUGUCCUCACACUGGAGAGAUGGCCCGGCUCCUCCUCAGGGGGAGAACAGGAGGCCGGCCCAUCUAGCCAGCCAGCCCUCAACUCAUCCAACCAGCUCAUCCAACGAGCCCUCCAACGAGCCCAGCCAGCCCAGCCCAGCCAGCCAGCCCAGCCAACCAGCCCAGCCAAACAACCAUCCAAACAGCCCAGCCAACCAGCCCAUCCAGCCCAUCCAAAUAGCCAUCCAAACAGCCCAGCCAGCCCAGCCCAUCCAGUCAGCCCAUCCAGUCAGGCCAGCCAGCCAGUCCAGCCAACCAGCCAUCCAACCAGCCCAGCCAACCCAGCCAGCCAGCCAUCCAAACACCCAUCCAACCAGCCCAGCCAACCAGCCCAUCCAAACAACCAUCCAAACAGCCCAGCCAGCCCAGCCCAUCCAAUCCAACCAGCCAUCCAGUCAGCCCAUCCAACCAACCCAUCCAAACAGCCCAUUCAGCCAGCCCAUCCAACCAGCCAUUCAACCUGUCCAGCCAGCCAGCCCAUCCAACCAGCCCAUCUAGCCAGACAUCCAACCAGCCCAUCCAGCCAACCCAUCCAACCAGCCCAUCCAACCAGCCAGCCAAACAGCCCAGCCAGCCAGCCAGCCAGCCAGUCCAGCCAACCAGCCCAUCCAGCCAUCCAUCCAAACAGCCCAUCCAGUCAGCACAUCCAGUCAGCCCAUCCAACCAGCCAAAUCUUUUUGCACAUUGCUCUCACAGGUUCAGAGACCCCCACAUUUUAA
rnacentral:lncRNA from 12 species